rnacentral:rRNA from 1 species
GUGUCAGCAGCCGCGGUAAUACGGAGGGCGCGAGCGUUACCCGGAUUUACUGGGCGUAAAGGGCGUGUAGGCGGCCUGGGGCGUCCCAUGUGAAAGGCCACGGCUCAACCGUGGAGGAGCGUGGGAUACGCUCAGGCUAGAGGGUGGGAGAGGGUGGUGGAAUUCCCGGAGUAGCGGUGAAAUGCGCAGAUACCGGGAGGAACGCCGAUGGCGAAGGCAGCCACCUGGUCCACUUCUGACGCUGAGGCGCGAAAGCGUGGGGAGCAAACCGGAUUAGAUACCCGGGUAGUCCACGCCCUAAACGAUGCGCGCUAGGUCUCUGGGUUUAUCUGGGGGCCGAAGCCAACGCGUUAAGCGCGCCGCCUGGGGAGUACGGCCGCAAGGCUGAA